CAGCUCGCGUGUUCAGGAUCGACUUUUUUUUUGUAAAGCGGAGGAUCUCCGAGAACUGAUGCGCAGAACGGAAGCGCCGGGAUGAAAGCACGCAAAAUGAAAGAAAAGCGGAAAAAAAGAAGGAUAAGAGGAUAAGAUUCGUGGGGGUUGAUUUUUUUUACCGGAGAGGAGUGCAGGAGGAGAGCAGCUACGGAGAAGAGCACCGGGAGCGCGCGCAUCCUUCCGAAAGAGCCGCGAGCCUGGAGCGAACUGACGGAGGGAGAACCGCGGAUGGGGAGUCUGAGUCUCUCUCUCUCUCUCUCUCUCCUCUUCUCUGAGCACGCGAAGAGCUGCAGCGCCGCUCUGAGCUCCUCCUCUCUCUCUCUCUCUCUCUCUCUCUCUCUCUCUCUACACACACACACACGCAAAGAGAGAGAGAGCGAGAGAGAGAGAGAGAGAGAGAGAGAGAGAAAUGAACACUUAAAGCCUCGCACACUGUGACUGUGGUUUCUAGAUGAGCCACGUUUGAGAGAUGGCGAGAACGACAGAGACAGUGAUUUGUAGAGAGAGGGAGAGAGAGAGAGAGGGAUUGUGAGAAGACUAUAGAUAGAAAUAGAAAAACUGUAAGUUAGACGAUUGUAAACAUUAAUCGAGAAAGAGAGAGAGAUGAGCGAGAAUGACAGAGAUGGAGAAUUGCAGAUGACUGGAGAGAAAAAGAACGGAGAGAAGUAAAGGUGGAUGGUGACUGAAAGAUGGAGAUAAGGAGGGAACGAACGAAUGAAAAGAAUGAUAUUGAGUAAAAGAGAAAGAGGACUAGAUGGAUGGAGAGUGAAAGAGAGACAGUGAGAAAUAUGGAUUCAGCGAGCAGGGGAGCCAUGCUCCGAUGUUCCCGUUUCUUCAGGGAAGACCGGAGCCUUUCUCCCAGCUGCUGUUACUCCGGGAUGAGUUUCCAUCAAAACCAGACACGCUGAGUCUUCUUGUUCUUCACAUUCUCAGCAGGAAACAGUCGGUCCCUCAGCCUUUUUAUUCAAUUAAAUGCCAAAGAAAAUUAGACUUUUACCAAGCCCCGAGACUGGAGACUCCUUCCAUAGAUAUUAAAAACACG